rnacentral:lncRNA from 1 species
AUUGACAAAGACACAUUUCAUUUAAGAAUAAAGCCUUUAUUUUGUCUUCCCACAGUUCAAGUUUGUCAGAACCACCCAAUGACGUGGUGGCAUGUAGAGUGAAUGAGAGAGGUAGACCAUCAGUUCCAUCCACCCAGUCAUCACCUUGUACAGUUCCAUCCACCCUGUACAGUUCCAUCCACCCAGUCAUCACCCUGUACAGUUCCAUCCACCCAGUCAUCCACCCUGUACAGUUCCAUCCACCCAGUCAUCCACCCUGUACAGUUCCAUCCACCCACCCAGUCAUCCACCCUGUACAGUUCCAUCCACCCAGUCAUCAGCCUGUACAGUUCCAUCCACCCAGUCAUCACCCUGUACAGUUCCAUCCACCCAGUCAUCACCCUGUACAGUUCCAUCCACCCAGUCAUCCGCCCUGUACAGUUCCAUCCACCGUCAUCCGCCUGUACAGUUCCAUCCACCGUCAUCCGCCUGUACAGUUCCAUCCACCCAGUCAUCCACCCUGUACAGUUCCAUCCACCCUGUACAGUUCCAUCCACCCUGUACAGUUCCAUCCACCCUGUACAGUUCCAUCCACCCAGUCAUCAGCCUGUACAGUUCCAUCCACCCAGUCAUCCACCCUGUACAGUUCCAUCCACCCUGUACAGUUCCAUCCACCCUGUACAGUUCCAUCCACCCAGUCAUCAGCCUGUACAGUUCCAUCCACCCAGUCAUCAGCCUGUACAGUUCCAUCCACCCAGUCAUCAGCCUGUACAGUUCCAUCCACCCAGUCAUCAGCCUGUACAGUUCCAUCCACCCAGUCAUCAGCCUGUACAGUUCCAUCCACCCAGUCAUCAGCCUGUACAGUUCCAUCCACCCAGUCAUCCACCCUGUACAGUUCCAUCCACCCUGUACAGUUCCAUCCACCCUGUACAGUUCCAUCCACCCAGUCAUCAGCCUGUACAGUUCCAUCCACCCAGUCAUCAGCCUGUACAGUUCCAUCCACCCUGUAUUACUCAAUCUUCUCAACACAUAAGGAAUCAGUGUGUUGUGAGGAGCCUCUGUACUAAUUGGAAUAGUCCCGCUCCACUUCUAGAUCCUUAA